AGUGAACGCUGGCGGUAGGCCUAACACAUGCAAGUCGAACGGCAGCACAGUAAGAGCUUGCUCUUACGGGUGGCGAGUGGCGGACGGGUGAGGAAUACAUCGGAAUCUACUUUUUCGUGGGGGAUAACGUAGGGAAACUUACGCUAAUACCGCAUACGACCUACGGGUGAAAGCAGGGGAUCUUCGGACCUUGCGCGAUUGAAUGAGCCGAUGUCGGAUUAGCUGGUUGGCGGGGUAAAGGCCCACCAAGGCGACGAUCCGUAGCUGGUCUGAGAGGAUGAUCAGCCACACUGGAACUGAGACACGGUCCAGACUCCUACGGGGGGCAGCAGUGGGGAAUAUUGGACAAAGGGCGCAAGCCUGAUCCAGCCAUACCGCGUGGGUGAAGAAGGCCUUCGGGUUGUAAAGCCCUUUUGUUGGGAAAGAAAAGCAGCAGGUUAAUACCCCGCUGUUCUGACGGUACCCAAAGAAUAAGCACCGGCUAACUUCGUG
rnacentral:rRNA from 1 species